UACGGGGGGGCAAGCGUUGUUCGGAAUUACUGGGCGUAAAGGGCUCGUAGGUGGCCAACUAAGUCGGACGUGAAAUCCCUCAGCUUAACUGGGGAACUGCGUCCGAUACUGGAUGGCUUGAGUUUGGGAGAGGGAUGCGGAAUUCCAGGUGUAGCGGUGAAAUGCGUAGAUAUCUGGAGGAACACCGGUGGCGAAGGCGGCAUCCUGGACCAACACUGACACUGAGGAGCGAAAGCCAAGGGGAGCGAAACGGG
rnacentral:rRNA from 1 species